rnacentral:rRNA from 1 species
AGUGAACGCUGGCGGUAGGCCUAACACAUGCAAGUCGAACGGCAGCACAGUAAGAGCUUGCUCUUACGGGUGGCGAGUGGCGGACGGGUGAGGAAUACAUCGGAAUCUACUUUUUCGUGGGGGAUAACGUAGGGAAACUUACGCUAAUACCGCAUACGACCUACGGGUUAAAGCAGGGGAUCUUCGGACCUUGCGCGAUUGAAUGAGCCGAUGUCGGAUUAGCUAGUUGGCGGGGUAAAGGCCCACUAAGGCGACGAUCCGUAGCUGGUCUGAGAGGAUGAUCAGCCACACUGGAACUGAGACACGGUCCAGACUCCUACGGGAGGCAGCAGUGGGGAAUAUUGGACAAUGGGCGCAAGCCUGAUCCAGCCAUACCGCGUGGGUGAAGAAGGCCUUCGGGUUGUAAAGCCCUUUUGUUGGGAAAGAAAAGCAGCAGGUUAAUACCCCGCUGUUCUGACGGUACCCAAAGAACAAGCACCGGCUAACUUCGUG